UUAUCCAGCUUGUUACUAUAUGCUUUUUAAAUGGGGCACAGAGUGACAAGCUGGUUAAAG
rnacentral:pre_miRNA from 1 species